rnacentral:tRNA from 1 species
AUUUAUUUAGUAUAGUAUGUACAUUUGACUUCCAAUCAAAAAGAUUGAAAAAAUUCAAAAUAAAUA